CUCAACGGAUAAAAGGUACUCCGGGGAUAACAGGCUGAUACCGCCCAAGAGUUCAUAUCGACGGCGGUGUUUGGCACCUCGAUGUCGGCUCAUCACAUCCUGGGGCUGAAGUAGGUCCCAAGGGUAUGGCUGUUCGCCAUUUAAAGUGGUACGCGAGCUGGGUUUAGAACGUCGUGAGACAGUUCGGUCCCUAUCUGCCGUGGGCGCUGGAGAACUGAGGGGGGCUGCUCCUAGUACGAGAGGACCGGAGUGGACGCAUCACUGGUGUUCGGGUUGUCAUGCCAAUGGCACUGCCCGGUAGCUAAAUGCGGAAGAGAUAAGUGCUGAAAGCAUCUAAGCACGAAACUUGCCCCGAGAUGAGUUCUCCCUGACUCCUUGAGAGUCCUGAAGGAACGUUGAAGACGACGACGUUGAUAGGCCGGGUGUGUAAGCGCAGCGAUGCGUUGAGCUAACCGGUACUAAUGAACCGUGAGGCUUAACCUUACAACGCCGAAGCUGUU
rnacentral:rRNA from 1 species